rnacentral:rRNA from 1 species
AUGAUUCUUGACUGGGAGGUAUGGCAGGACGGCUGGCCUCUUGGACUGGGCCUGGGCACCCUGAAUCCGGGAGCCGGGGCGGUCAGGAGCGUCGGCUCCUCCUCCUCCACCGCGGCAUUCACCCCGUCCCACUGCGUCUCGUCCGUCGCUUCGUCUGAUCUGGACACAGAGUCGGCGUGGUCUUUGCCGCGCGCUGGCGGCGGCGGCGGCGGCAUCACGCUGGCGGCCCUGAUCGGCCUGGUGGACGCUAUGGAGAGCCGGCGCAGCAGGCGCCGGGGCGAGAGGGCGAGCAGGAGCGGCAGGCUGCGGGCGCUGCUGCUCUCGCUCUGCCUCCGGAGCCACCUGGAGAACGGCGGCGGCGCGGCGCCGUCGCUCGGCCAGUUCCUCGAGAUGGAGAGGAGGGCUAGCGGGAGCAGUGGCCAUCUCCACAGGAUGCUUCCGUGGAACCGUGACUGA